GGGUUGUGAGGUUAAGCGACUAAGCGUACACGGUGGAUGCCCUGGCAGUCAGAGGCGAUGAAGGACGUGCUAAUCUGCGAUAAGCGUCGGUAAGGUGAUAUGAACCGUUAUAACCGGCGAUUUCCGAAUGGGGAAACCCAGUGUGAUUCGUCACACUAUCAUUAACUGAAUCCAUAGGUUAAUGAGGCGAACCGGGGGAACUGAAACAUCUAAGUACCCCGAGGAAAAGAAAUCAACCGAGAUUCCCCCAGUAGCGGCGAGCGAACGGGGAGGAGCCCAGAGCCUGAAUCAGUGUGUGUGUUAGUGGAAGCGUCUGGAAAGGCGCGCGAUACAGGGUGACAGCCCCGUACACAAAAAUGCACAUGCUGUGAGCUCGAUGAGUAGGGCGGGACACGUGGUAUCCUGUCUGAAUAUGGGGGGACCAUCCUCCAAGGCUAAAUACUCCUGACUGACCGAUAGUGAACCAGUACCGUGAGGGAAAGGCGAAAAGAACCCCGGCGAGGGGAGUGAAAAAGAACCUGAAACCGUGUACGUACAAGCAGUGGGAGCACAGAGCAAUCUGUGUGACUGCGUACCUUUUGUAUAAUGGGUCAGCGACUUAUAUUCUGUAGCAAGGUUAACCGAAUAGGGGAGCCGAAGGGAAACCGAGUCUUAACUGGGCGUUAAGUUGCAGGGUAUAGACCCGAAACCCGGUGAUCUAGCCAUGGGCAGGUUGAAGGUUGGGUAACACUAACUGGAGGACCGAACCGACUAAUGUUGAAAAAUUAGCGGAUGACUUGUGGCUGGGGGUGAAAGGCCAAUCAAACCGGGAGAUAGCUGGUUCUCCCCGAAAGCUAUUUAGGUAGCGCCUCGUGAAUUCAUCUCCGGGGGUAGAGCACUGUUUCGGCAAGGGGGUCAUCCCGACUUACCAACCCGAUGCAAACUGCGAAUACCGGAGAAUGUUAUCACGGGAGACACACGGCGGGUGCUAACGUCCGUCGUGAAGAGGGAAACAACCCAGACCGCCAGCUAAGGUCCCAAAGUCAUGGUUAAGUGGGAAACGAUGUGGGAAGGCCCAGACAGCCAGGAUGUUGGCUUAGAAGCAGCCAUCAUUUAAAGAAAGCGUAAUAGCUCACUGGUCGAGUCGGCCUGCGCGGAAGAUGUAACGGGGCUAAACCAUGCACCGAAGCUGCGGCAGCGACACUAUGUGUUGUUGGGUAGGGGAGCGUUCUGUAAGCCUGUGAAGGUGUGCUGUGAGGCAUGCUGGAGGUAUCAGAAGUGCGAAUGCUGACAUAAGUAACGAUAAAGCGGGUGAAAAGCCCGCUCGCCGGAAGACCAAGGGUUCCUGUCCAACGUUAAUCGGGGCAGGGUGAGUCGACCCCUAAGGCGAGGCCGAAAGGCGUAGUCGAUGGGAAACAGGUUAAUAUUCCUGUACUUGGUGUUACUGCGAAGGGGGGACGGAGAAGGCUAUGUUGGCCGGGCGACGGUUGUCCCGGUUUAAGCGUGUAGGCUGGUUUUCCAGGCAAAUCCGGAAAAUCAAGGCUGAGGCGUGAUGACGAGGCACUACGGUGCUGAAGCAACAAAUGCCCUGCUUCCAGGAAAAGCCUCUAAGCAUCAGGUAACAUCAAAUCGUACCCCAAACCGACACAGGUGGUCAGGUAGAGAAUACCAAGGCGCUUGAGAGAACUCGGGUGAAGGAACUAGGCAAAAUGGUGCCGUAACUUCGGGAGAAGGCACGCUGAUAUGUAGGUGAAGCGACUUGCUCGUGGAGCUGAAAUCAGUCGAAGAUACCAGCUGGCUGCAACUGUUUAUUAAAAACACAGCACUGUGCAAACACGAAAGUGGACGUAUACGGUGUGACGCCUGCCCGGUGCCGGAAGGUUAAUUGAUGGGGUUAGCGCAAGCGAAGCUCUUGAUCGAAGCCCCGGUAAACGGCGGCCGUAACUAUAACGGUCCUAAGGUAGCGAAAUUCCUUGUCGGGUAAGUUCCGACCUGCACGAAUGGCGUAAUGAUGGCCAGGCUGUCUCCACCCGAGACUCAGUGAAAUUGAACUCGCUGUGAAGAUGCAGUGUACCCGCGGCAAGACGGAAAGACCCCGUGAACCUUUACUAUAGCUUGACACUGAACAUUGAGCCUUGAUGUGUAGGAUAGGUGGGAGGCUUGGAAGUGUGGACGCCAGUCUGCAUGGAGCCGACCUUGAAAUACCACCCUUUAAUGUUUGAUGUUCUAACGUUGACCCGUAAUCCGGGUUGCGGACAGUGUCUGGUGGGUAGUUUGACUGGGGCGGUCUCCUCCUAAAGAGUAACGGAGGAGCACGAAGGUUGGCUAAUCCUGGUCGGACAUCAGGAGGUUAGUGCAAUGGCAUAAGCCAGCUUGACUGCGAGCGUGACGGCGCGAGCAGGUGCGAAAGCAGGUCAUAGUGAUCCGGUGGUUCUGAAUGGAAGGGCCAUCGCUCAACGGAUAAAAGGUACUCCGGGGAUAACAGGCUGAUACCGCCCAAGAGUUCAUAUCGACGGCGGUGUUUGGCACCUCGAUGUCGGCUCAUCACAUCCUGGGGCUGAAGUAGGUCCCAAGGGUAUGGCUGUUCGCCAUUUAAAGUGGUACGCGAGCUGGGUUUAGAACGUCGUGAGACAGUUCGGUCCCUAUCUGCCGUGGGCGCUGGAGAACUGAGGGGGGCUGCUCCUAGUACGAGAGGACCGGAGUGGACGCAUCACUGGUGUUCGGGUUGUCAUGCCAAUGGCACUGCCCGGUAGCUAAAUGCGGAAGAGAUAAGUGCUGAAAGCAUCUAAGCACGAAACUUGCCCCGAGAUGAGUUCUCCCUGACUCCUUGAGAGUCCUGAAGGAACGUUGAAGACGACGACGUUGAUAGGCCGGGUGUGUAAGCGCAGCGAUGCGUUGAGCUAACCGGUACUAAUGAACCGUGAGGCUUAACCUUACAACGCCGAAGGUGUUU
rnacentral:rRNA from 1 species